rnacentral:sRNA from 1 species
AAAAAAAGAAGAAGAUAUCA